rnacentral:rRNA from 1 species
CCCUUAGAUGUUCUGGGCUGCACGCGCGCUACACUGAAGCGUUCAACGAGUAUUCACCUUGCCCGGGAGGGUUGGGUAAUCUUUUGAAAACGCUUCGUGAUGGGGAUAGAUUAUUGCAAUUAUUAAUCUUCAACGAGGAAUGCCUAGUAAGCGCAAGUCAUCAGCUUGCGUUGAUUACGUCCCUGCCCUUUGUACACACCGCCCGUCGCUCCUACCGAUUGAAUGGUCCGGUGAAGCGCUCGGACCGCGGCCUCUUGACGGUUCGCUGUCGAUUGGCUGUGGGAAGUUCGUUAAACCUUAUCAUUUAGAGGAAGGAGAAGUCGUAACA